CGGGCGCGCACGCGCCGGGGCGCGCGCCCAGGGGGCGGGCCGGGAAUCGCGGCCGCUCGCCAGUCUUUGGGCCGCGGCCCGGCGCCUGUGCUUCCUUUCGCCUCCUACGCGUUCUGUCGGUCGAGCCGGUGUAUGUGCGGCAAUAACAUGUCUGCCCCGCUUCCUGCCAUCGUGCCCGCCGCCCGGAAGGCCACCGCUGCGGUGAUUUUUCUUCAUGGAUUGGGAGAUACAGGGCAUGGAUGGGCAGAAGCCUUUGCAGGUAUCAGAAGUUCACAUAUCAAAUAUAUCUGCCCGCAUGCACCAGUUAUGCCAGUAACAUUAAAUAUGAAUAUGGCUAUGCCUUCUUGGUUUGAUAUUAUUGGGCUUUCACCAGAUUCACAGGAAGAUGAACAUGGAAUUAAACAGGCAGCAGAAAAUGUAAAAGCUUUGAUAGAGCAAGAGGUGAAGAAUGGCAUUCCUUCAAACAGAAUUAUUUUGGGAGGAUUUUCUCAGGGAGGAGCUUUAUCUUUAUAUACUGCUCUUACCACACAGCAGAAACUGGCAGGUGUCACGGCUCUCAGUUGCUGGCUUCCACUGCGGACUUCGUUUCCACAGGGUCCUAUCAGUGGCGUUAAUAGAGAUAUUGCUAUUCUUCAGUGCCAUGGAGAUUGUGACCCUUUAGUUCCCCUAAUGUUUGGUUCUCUUACUGUGGAAAAGCUAAAAACAUUGGUAAAUCCAGCCAAUGUAACCUUCAAAACCUAUGAAGGCAUGAUGCACAGUUCGAGUCAACAGCAAAAUGCAGACCAUUUUCAUGGGACUAGAUAACAGAUGGGAGCUAUUGUGGAAUGUACAAUAAUAAUAAUCAGGAAAUGUUCUGAAAUUUUUACUGGAGCCUCAUAUCUCUGUUACAACUUAUAUUGAAAUGAUGGAUAUCAAGCAAUUCAUUGAUAAACUCCUACCUCCAGUUGAUUGACAUCAGUAAGGGGCCUUGUGUAGAAGUACAUACCAGCCUCAUUGUAGUAGAGUAUAACUUUUUCUUGUGCCCUACCUUGAAACUUGUAAUGUUCGCAAUGUUUUGCAAAUAUACACCAAUGACAGAGACUGAGUAAUGUCUCCUCAUGGGAAAUUUAUGAUCUUUUAAGUUUCUAUAUAUGUAUUUGUAUAAUAUGAUCCAGAAUAUACUAGUAUUAAAAUAGGUGAAGCAGCUAGCUUCUUUUUCCCAAAUGUGAUUCAGCAAAAUAAUAAAAUACUGCAACGAGACUUUUUAUUACAUCAUUUGAAAAUUACUAGUAUGGUUAAUGAAAUCUUGUUCAGGUAUAAACGAGCAGUUAAGAUAUAAAUAAUUUAUGAAUGCUGUGACUUAGUCUGUGGACUUAUUCCAAAAUUACUUAGUCACCAUGCAGUGUCUGUAUUUUUAUAUAUGUAUUCAUAUAUGCUUAAUGAUUAUAAUAUAUAAGAAUUAUUCCUAACAAUAGGGAUAAUGCUUCUAAGUGUCAAUAAAGAGUAUUAUUGCUCUCUUCAA